AGAACCUCACAUAGUUGCAGACCUGAUCAUGCACUUUCCAUUUCCGUCUCUGAAUUAGCAUUGAAAAUAUGAGCCCAUGGUUUGUCUGACAUCAACAGACUGCCAGGAUUUUUCAUCUGAUGUUUUGAUUUAUCAUUGCUACUUCUGCAAAUUCAGGAAAAUCGUCAUUACUGUAACUCUUGGCUCAGACAAUUCAAGAAGUAUUGUUGUGAUUUCUUCUUUGACACAGAUGCUACUAGAUGACCAUGGUCGGAGUCAGACUCACCUACCACUGUUUCUAAGUCAUCUGGUUGAACAGGAUUUGUGGCAGAUGCUGUUAAAUACGUCCUUUCUGAAAGUUAUGAUGAUUUCUUUCUUAGUAAUGUAUGUUCUAAGUCCCAGAAUUACAUAUACAUGUGGUUUUGAAUAUAGAUACUUUAGCAAUAGAAGUUAUACUUGUCUUUCUAUA